rnacentral:rRNA from 1 species
GAUAAACGCUGGCGGCGCACAUAAGACAUGCAAGUCGAACGGACUUAACUCAUUCUUUUAGAUUGAGAGCGGUUAGUGGCGGACUGGUGAGUAACACGUAAGCAACCUGCCUAUUAGAGGGGAAUAACAGUGAGAAAUCAUUGCUAAUACCGCAUAAGCCCACAGCUCGGCAUCGAGCAGAGGGAAAAGGAGUGAUCCGCUUUGAGAUGGCCUCGCGUCCGAUUAGCUGGUUGGUGAGGUAACGGCCCACCAAGGCGACGAUCGGUAGCCGGACUGAGAGGUUGAACGGCCACAUUGGGACUGAGACACGGCCCAG